rnacentral:misc_RNA from 1 species
ACAAACUUGGUCAUUUAGAGGAAGUAAAAGUCGUAACAAGGUCUCCGUAGGUGAACCUGCGGAGGGAUCAUUAUCGAGUGAAGGGCCUACCCGCCCGACCUCCAACCCUUUGUGAAACCGACCGCGUUGCCUUGGGGGGUGUGCCUGGCGCGCCCCCCAACGGCCCACUUCAACUCUGCGUCUUCCAGCGUCUGAGUCUUCUCGAGAAAUCGAAACAAAACUUUCAACAACGGAUCUCUUGGUUCUGGCAUCAAUGAAGAACGCAGC